rnacentral:rRNA from 1 species
UACGAAGGGGGCGAGCGUUGUCCGGAAUUAUUGGGCGUAAAGCGCGCGCAGGCGGCUUUGUAAGUCUGGUGUUUAAACCCGAAGCUCAACUUCGGGUCGCAUUGGAAACUGCAAGGCUUGAGUGCAGAAGAGGAAAGUGGAAUUCCACGUGUAGCGGUGAAAUGCGUAGAGAUGUGGAGGAACACCGGUGGCGAAAGCGAUCCGCUGGACCUCUUCUGACGCUGAGGCGCGGAAAGC